GGGUUGUGAGGUUAAGCGACUAAGCGUACACGGUGGAUGCCCUGGCAGUCAGAGGCGAUGAAGGACGUGCUAAUCUGCGAAAAGCGUCGGUAAGGUGAUAUGAACCGUUAUAGCCGGCGAUGUCCGAAUGGGGAAACCCAGUGCAAUUCGUUGCACUAUCGUUAACUGAAUACAUAGGUUAACGAGGCGAACCGGGGGAACUGAAACAUCUAAGUACCCCGAGGAAAAGAAAUCAACCGAGAUUCCCCCAGUAGCGGCGAGCGAACGGGGAGCAGCCCAGAGUCUGAAUCAGCUUGUGUGUUAGUGGAACGGUCUGGAAAGUCCGACGGUACAGGGUGAUAGUCCCGUACACCAAAAUGCACAGGCUGUGAACUCGAAGAGUAGGGCGGGACACGUGGUAUCCUGUCUGAAUAUGGGGGGACCAUCCUCCAAGGCUAAAUACUCCUGACUGACCGAUAGUGAACCAGUACCGUGAGGGAAAGGCGAAAAGAACCCCGGCGAGGGGAGUGAAAAAGAACCUGAAACCGUGUACGUACAAGCAGUGGGAGCACCCUUUAGGGUGUGACUGCGUACCUUUUGUAUAAUGGGUCAGCGACUUAUAUUCUGUAGCAAGGUUAACCGUAUAGGGGAGCCGCAGGGAAACCGAGUCUUAACUGGGCGUUAAGUUGCAGGGUAUAGACCCGAAACCCGGUGAUCUAGCCAUGGGCAGGUUGAAGGUUGGGUAACACUAACUGGAGGACCGAACCGACUAAUGUUGAAAAAUUAGCGGAUGACUUGUGGCUGGGGGUGAAAGGCCAAUCAAACCGGGAGAUAGCUGGUUCUCCCCGAAAGCUAUUUAGGUAGCGCCUCGUGAAUUCAUCUUCGGGGGUAGAGCACUGUUUCGGCUAGGGGGUCAUCCCGACUUACCAACCCGAUGCAAACUACGAAUACCGAAGAAUGUUAUCACGGGAGACACACGGCGGGUGCUAACGUCCGUCGUGAAGAGGGAAACAACCCAGACCGCCAGCUAAGGUCCCAAAGUCAUGGUUAAGUGGGAAACGAUGUGGGAAGGCACAGACAGCCAGGAUGUUGGCUUAGAAGCAGCCAUCAUUUAAAGAAAGCGUAAUAGCUCACUGGUCGAGUCGGCCUGCGCGGAAGAUGUAACGGGGCUAAACCAUGCACCGAAGCUGCGGCAGCGACACUAUGUGUUGUUGGGUAGGGGAGCGUUCUGUAAGCCUGCGAAGGUGGCCUGUGAGGGUUGCUGGAGGUAUCAGAAGUGCGAAUGCUGACAUAAGUAACGAUAAAGCGGGUGAAAAGCCCGCUCGCCGGAAGACCAAGGGUUCCUGUCCAACGUUAAUCGGGGCAGGGUGAGUCGACCCCUAAGGCGAGGCCGAAAGGCGUAGUCGAUGGGAAACAGGUUAAUAUUCCUGUACUUGGUGUUACUGCGAAGGGGGGACGGAGAAGGCUAUGUUAGCCGGGCGACGGUUGUCCCGGUUUAAGCAUGUAGGCGGAGGUUCCAGGUAAAUCCGGUACCUUUUAACGCUGAGGUGUGAUGACGAGGCACUACGGUGCUGAAGUAACAAAUGCCCUGCUUCCAGGAAAAGCCUCUAAGCAUCAGGUAACAUUAAAUCGUACCCCAAACCGACACAGGUGGUCAGGUAGAGAAUACCAAGGCGCUUGAGAGAACUCGGGUGAAGGAACUAGGCAAAAUGGUGCCGUAACUUCGGGAGAAGGCACGCUGAUAGGUAGGUGAAGUCCCUGCGGAUGGAGCUGAAAUCAGUCGAAGAUACCAGCUGGCUGCAACUGUUUAUUAAAAACACAGCACUGUGCAAACACGAAAGUGGACGUAUACGGUGUGACGCCUGCCCGGUGCCGGAAGGUUAAUUGAUGGGGUUAUCCGUAAGGAGAAGCUCUUGAUCGAAGCCCCGGUAAACGGCGGCCGUAACUAUAACGGUCCUAAGGUAGCGAAAUUCCUUGUCGGGUAAGUUCCGACCUGCACGAAUGGCGUAAUGAUGGCCAGGCUGUCUCCACCCGAGACUCAGUGAAAUUGAACUCGCUGUGAAGAUGCAGUGUACCCGCGGCAAGACGGAAAGACCCCGUGAACCUUUACUAUAGCUUGACACUGAACAUUGAGCCUUGAUGUGUAGGAUAGGUGGGAGGCUUUGAAGCGUGGACGCCAGUCUGCGUGGAGCCAACCUUGAAAUACCACCCUUUAAUGUUUGAUGUUCUAACGUAGACCCCUAAUCGGGGUUGCGGACAGUGUCUGGUGGGUAGUUUGACUGGGGCGGUCUCCUCCCAAAGAGUAACGGAGGAGCACGAAGGUUAGCUAAUCCUGGUCGGACAUCAGGAGGUUAGUGCAAUGGCAUAAGCUAGCUUGACUGCGAGCGUGACGGCGCGAGCAGGUGCGAAAGCAGGUCAUAGUGAUCCGGUGGUUCUGAAUGGAAGGGCCAUCGCUCAACGGAUAAAAGGUACUCCGGGGAUAACAGGCUGAUACCGCCCAAGAGUUCAUAUCGACGGCGGUGUUUGGCACCUCGAUGUCGGCUCAUCACAUCCUGGGGCUGAAGUAGGUCCCAAGGGUAUGGCUGUUCGCCAUUUAAAGUGGUACGCGAGCUGGGUUUAGAACGUCGUGAGACAGUUCGGUCCCUAUCUGCCGUGGGCGCUGGAGAAUUGAGGGGGGCUGCUCCUAGUACGAGAGGACCGGAGUGGACGCAUCACUGGUGUUCGGGUUGUCAUGCCAAUGGCAUUGCCCGGUAGCUAAAUGCGGAAGAGAUAAGUGCUGAAAGCAUCUAAGCACGAAACUUGCCCCGAGAUGAGUUCUCCCUGAGACUUUAAGUCUCCUGAAGGAACGUUGAAGACGACGACGUUGAUAGGCCGGGUGUGUAAGCGCAGCGAUGCGUUGAGCUAACCGGUACUAAUGAACCGUGAGGCUUAACCUUACAACGCCGAAGGUGUUU
rnacentral:rRNA from 1 species